UCGGGAAUUUUGGGCAAUGGGCGAAAGCCUGACCCAGCAACGCCGCGUGAGGGAUGAAGUAUUUCGGUAUGUAAACCUCGAAAGAAUGGGAAGAAUAAAUGACGGUACCAUUUAUAAGCUCCGGCUAACUACGUGCCAGCAGCCGCGGUAAUACGUAGGGAGCAAGCGUUGUUCGGAUUUACUGGGCGUAAAGGGCGCGUAGGCGGCGCGGUAAGUCACUUGUGAAAUCUCUGAGCUUAACUCAGAACGGCCAAGUGAUACUGCUGUGCUAGAGUGCGGAAGAGGCAACCGGAAUUCUUGGUGUAGCGGUGAAAUGCGUAGAUAUCAAGAGGAACACCUGAGGCGAAGGCGGGUUGCUGGGCCGACACUGACGCUGAUGCGCGAAAGCCAGGGGAGCAAACG
rnacentral:rRNA from 1 species